CUUUUUUCUCUCUUCCAGCAUUAGGACCAACAUCUGCUCACCAUGUUCUGGGCUCCCUUUGCUAGUUUGCUACUGUUGAUGUGGUGCAGAGGUUCAGACUCUCAGCUCACCUUGUCUCAGCCUCCCUCGGCCUCUGUGUCACUGGGAAACACAAUGAAACUCUCCUGCACCAUAAGCAGGAAUGACAGAACUGUGUACUGGUACCAGCAGAAGCCAGGGAAUGCUCCACGGUACCUCUUAUAUUAUAGCUCAGAUUCCAGCAAGGGCCAAGGCUCCGGGGUCCCCUCUCGUUUCUCGGGGUCCAAAGAUUCUUCCGGUAGCAUUGGCUACUUAACCAUUGCUGGAGCUCAGGCAGAAGACGAGGCUUACUAUUACUGUGCCGCAUGGUACAAUGCGUGUCACGGUGUGAUAUUUUGA